rnacentral:lncRNA from 10 species
GGUCAUACCGGGUGGGGUGGCGGUAAUGAGAGGUCAUACCAGAUUCUUCAUAAAUAAUCCAGAACCAGUAACCACAUGCAGCCUGCAGGGGUCCAGAAUCACUGAUUGGAUAUACCAAGUGUUGACCGAAGCUGCCCUUUCUGAGACAGCCUGUCCUCCUUGGCCUGUGGACCUUUGUGACCCUGCAGUGGGGGUAUAGUGAGGCCUUUCUUCUGGAGACGGAACGACAAGCUUCUAAUCCCAGCUCUGUCACGUUCCUACUGGGCGACCUGGCAGGUACUCGACCUCUCUGACUUGAGGGGUAAGUGGAGUAAUAAUGGUGCCUACAUCAUAGGAUUGUUGUAAGGACUGAAUGAGAAAACCACUUCCUGCUGUAUAGGAGAGCUGACUAAAUGCUAGUCCCAUUACUAUUAUUAGCAUUCCAGCUAUAUAUGAA